rnacentral:rRNA from 1 species
UACGUAGGGGGCAAGCGUUGUCCGGAUUUAUUGGGCGUAAAGAGCGUGUAGGCGGCCAGGUAGGUCUGCUGUGAAAACUCGAGGCUUAACCUCGAGCUGUCGGCGGAAACCAUCUGGCUAGAGUCCGGAAGAGGAGAAUGGAAUUCCCGGUGUAGCGGUGAAAUGCGCAGAUAUCGGGAAGAACACCCGUGGCGAAGGCGGUUCUCUGGGCCGAUAUUGACGCUGAGGAGCGAAAGCGUGGGGAGCGAACAGG